rnacentral:lncRNA from 1 species
CAGAGGUUGAACCCUGAACGGUUGGGGCAAAUAUGGACACAACAUUCAAGCUGGAUUCAGCUCUAAAUUUGGAUUGUGAUUAAAUAGUUGACACAGCAUAGGUUUCUGACACAGAAUGAAUGUGGUCUAAUGAACUUAAACAAAAAAUUUUGCCUUUAAGCAAUUCACUAUGCUGUUGAAUAUUAAUCCUCUCAAAAAAAUGUUUGAAGAAAUUUUCUUUUUAUUUAUGAAAUCUGAAAUGAAAAAAAUU